rnacentral:rRNA from 1 species
CCAAUAGCGUAUAUUAAAGUUGUUGCAGUUAAAAAGCUCGUAGUUGAAUUUCGAGACCGGCUUACUGGUCGUGCUAUUGUACGUACUGGUAUAAUCGGUUUCUCCUUUCUGACGAACUAUAAUGCCAUUAAUUUGGUGUUUUAGGGAAUCAGGACUGUUACUUUGAAAAAAUUAGAGUGUUUAAAGCAGGCUCACGCUUGAAUACAUUAGCAUGGAAUAACGGAAUAGGACGUUUGAUUCUACUUUGUUGGUUUCUAGGAUCGACGUAAUGAUUAAUAGGGAUAGUUGGGGGCAUUAGUAUUCAAUUGUCAGAGGUGAAAUUCUUGAAUUUAUUGAAGACUAACUACUGCGAAAGCAUUUGCCAAGGAUGUUUUCAUUAAUCAAGAACGAAAGUUAGGGGAUCGAAGACGAUCAGAUACCGUCGUAGUCUUAACCAUAAACUAUGCCGACUAGGGAUCGGAUGAUGUUAAUUUUUUAAUGACUCAUUCGGCGCCUUACG